rnacentral:rRNA from 1 species
GACGAACGCUGGCGGCGUGCUUAACACAUGCAAGUCGAACGGAAAGGCCCUGCUUUUGUGGGGUGCUCGAGUGGCGAACGGGUGAGUAACACGUGAGUAACCUGCCCUUGACUUUGGGAUAACUUCAGGAAACUGGGGCUAAUACCGGAUAGGAGCUCCUGCUGCAUGGUGGGGGUUGGAAAGUUUCGGCGGUUGGGGAUGGACUCGCGGCUUAUCAGCUUGUUGGUGGGGUAGUGGCUUACCAAGGCUUUGACGGGUAGCCGGCCUGAGAGGGUGACCGGCCAAAUUGGGACCGAGAUACGGCCCAGACUCCUACGGGAGGCAGCAGGGGGGAAUAUUGCACAAUGGGCGGAAGCCUGAUGCAGCAACGCCGCGUGCGGGAUGACGGCCUUCGGGGUGGAAACCGCUUUCGCCUGGGACGAAGCGUGAGUGACGGUAAUGGGUAAAGAAGCACCGGCUAACUACGUG